GUAACGGCGAGUGAAGCGGCAACAGCUCAAAUUUGAAAUCUGGCUCUCGGGCCCGAGUUGUAAUUUGUAGAGGAUGCUUUUGGUGAGGUGCCUUCCGAGUUCCCUGGAACGGGACGCCAUAGAGGGUGAGAGCCCCGUCUGGUCGGACACCGAUCCUCUGUAAAGCUCCUUCGACGAGUCGAGUAGUUUGGGAAUGCUGCUCUAAAUGGGAGGUAUAUGUCUUCUAAAGCUAAAUACCGGCCAGAGACCGAUAGCGCACAAGUAGAGUGAUCGAAAGAUGAAAAGAACUUUGAAAAGAGAGUUAAAAAGUACGUGAAAUUGUUGAAAGGGAAGCGCUUGUGACCAGACUUGGGCUUGGUUGAUCAUCCAGGGUUCUCCCUGGUGCACUCUUCCGGCCCAGGCCAGCAUCAGUUCGCCCCGGGGGAAAAAGGCUUCGGGAAUGUGGCUCUCUCCGGGGAGUGUUAUAGCCCGUUGCGUAAUACCCUGUGGCGGACUGAGGUUCGCGCAUUCGCAAGGAUGCUGGCGUAAUGGUCAUCAGUGACCCGUCUUGAAACACGGACCAAGGAGUCGUCUUCGUAUGCGAGUGUUCGGGUGUCAAACCCCCCUACGCGAAAUGAAAGUGAACGCAGGUGAGAGCUUCGGCGCAUCAUCGACCGAUCCUGAUGUAUUCGGAUGGAUUUGAGUAAGAGCAUACGGGGCCGGACCCGAAAGAAGGUGAACUAUGCCUGUGUAGGGUGAAGCCAGAGGAAACUCUGGUGGAGGCUCGCAGCGGUUCUGACGUGCAAAUCGAUCGUCAAACAUGGGCAUGGGGGCGAAAGACUAAUCG
rnacentral:rRNA from 1 species